rnacentral:rRNA from 1 species
GACGAACGCUGGCGGCGUGCUUAACACAUGCAAGUCGAACGGAAAGGCCCUGCUUUUGUGGGGUGCUCGAGUGGCGAACGGGUGAGUAACACGUGAGUAACCUGCCCUUGACUUUGGGAUAACUUCAGGAAACUGGGGCUAAUACCGGAUAGGAGCUCCUGCUGCAUGGUGGGGGUUGGAAAGUUUCGGCGGUUGGGGAUGGACUCGCGGCUUAUCAGCUUGUUGGUGGGGUAGUGGCUUACCAAGGCUUUGACGGGUAGCCGGCCUGAGAGGGUGACCGGCCACAUUGGGACUGAGAUACGGCCCAGACUCCUACGGGAGGCAGCAGUGGGGAAUAUUGCACAAUGGGCGGAAGCCUGAUGCAGCAAAGCCGCGUGCGGGAUGACGGCCAUCGGGUUGUAAACCGAUUUCGCCUGUGACGAAGCGUGAGUGACGGUAACGGGUAAAGAAGCACCGGCUAACUACGUG